rnacentral:tRNA from 1 species
AACAAAGUGCCUGAUUAAAAGGACCGCAAUGAUAAAGCGUUUAUGUUUAUUAACCUUUGUUU